UACGGGGGGAGCAAGCGUUGUUCGGAUUUACUGGGCGUAAAGGGCGCGUAGGCGGCGCAACAAGUCACUUGUGAAAUCUCCGGGCUUAACCCGGAGCGGUCAAGUGAUACUGUCGUGCUAGAGUGCGGAAGGGGCUACUGGAAUUCUCGGUGUAGCGGUGAAAUGCGUAGAUAUCGAGAGGAACACCUGCGGCGAAGGCGGGUAGCUGGGCCGACACUGACGCUGAUGCGCGAAAGCCAGGGGAGCGAACGGG
rnacentral:rRNA from 1 species